ACGCUGGCGGCGUGCCUAAUACAUGCAAGUCGAGCGGACCAAAGGGAGCUUGCUCCUGGAGGUUAGCGGCGAACGGGUGAGUAACACGCGGGCAACCUGCCUGUAAGACUGGGAUAACAUCGAGAAAUCGGUGCUAAUACCGGAUAAUAAAAAGAACUGCAUGGUUCUUUUUUGAAAGAUGGUUUCGGCUAUCACUUACAGAUGGGCCCGCGGCGCAUUAGCUAGUUGGUGAGGUAACGGCUCACCAAGGCAACGAUGCGUAGCCGACCUGAGAGGGUGAUCGGCCACACUGGGACUGAGACACGGCCCAGACUCCUACGGGAGGCAGCAGUAGGGAAUCUUCCGCAAUGGACGAAAGUCUGACGGAGCAACGCCGCGUGAGUGAUGAAGGUUUUCGGAUCGUAAAACUCUGUUGUUAGGGAAGAACAAGUGCCGUUCGAAAGGGCGGCACCUUGACGGUACCUAACGAGAAAGCCACGGCUAACUACGUG
rnacentral:rRNA from 1 species